rnacentral:rRNA from 1 species
UACGUAGGGGGCAAGCGUUGUCCGGAUUUAUUGGGCGUAAAGAGCGUGUAGGCGGCCAUGCAGGUCCGUUGUGAAAACUCGAGGCUCAACCUCGAGACGCCGAUGGAAACCGCAUGGCUAGAGUACGGGAGAGGAGAGUGGAAUUCCCAGUGUAGAGGUGAAAUUCGUAGAUAUUGGGAAGAACACCAGUGGCGAAGGCGGCUCUCUGGACCGUAACUGACGCUGAGGCGCGAAAGCGUGGGGAGCAAACAGG